rnacentral:rRNA from 1 species
AUUGAACGCUGGCGGCAGGCCUAACACAUGCAAGUCGAACGAGUGGCGGACGGGUGAGUAAUGUCUGGGCAACUGCCUGAUGGAGGGGGAUAACUACUGGAAAAGGUAGCUAAUACCGCAUACCAUCAGAUGUGCCCAGAUGGGAUUAGCUAGUUGGUGGGGUAACGGCUCACCAAGGCGACGAUCCCUAGCUGGGCUGAGAGGAUGACCGGCCACACUGGAACUGAGACACGGUCCAGACUCCUACGGGAGGCAGCAGUGGGGAAUAUUGGGCAAUGGGCGCAAGCCUGAUGCAGCCAUGCCGCGUGAAUGAAGAAGGCCUUCGGGUCGUAAAGUUCUUUCAGCGGAGAGGCGUUACCCGCAGAAGAAGCACCGGCUAACUCCGUGCCAGCAGCCGCGGUAAUUC